GUUCGUAUGGUCAAGUGGUUACGACGUCGCAUUGUGGUUUCAAGGGUGCACCAGCGCUCGGAAUUGUUCUGCGGAAUCCCGUGUUCGAUUCACGGUACGGACA